AAAUGAAUAGACGGGGAGGCGCACAACCAGUGGAGCAUGUGGUUUAAUUCGAUACAAAGCGUUGGACCUCACCUAGGUUUGACAUGUACCUGCACGGUUUCCGAAAGGAUUCCUUCUUCGAGAGUGGUACACAGCUGCUGCAUGGCUGUCGUCAGUUCGUGUCGUGAGACGUCCACUUAAGUGUGGUAACGAACGCAACCCGCACCCUGUGUUAAAUACUCACAGGGAACUGCCUCGCAAAAAGCGGGGAGGAAGGAGCGGAUGACGUCAAGUCAGCAUGGUGCUUACACCUAGGGCAACACACAUCCUACAAUGGAGCCGACAACGGGUUUGCUAAGCCGCGAGGUGGAGCUAAUCCCUAAAACGGCCCCUCAGUUCAGAUUGCAGGCUGCAACUCGCCUGCAUGAAGUUGGAAUUGGUAGUAAUCGCGGAUCAGCAGGCCGCGGUGAAUACGUUCUCGCCUCUUGUACACACCGCCCGU
rnacentral:rRNA from 1 species